rnacentral:rRNA from 1 species
CCUACGGGAGGCUGCAGUGGGGAAUAUUGCACAAUGGGCGAAAGCCUGAUGCAGCAACGCCGCGUGAGCGAUGAAGGCCUUCGGGUCGUAAAGCUCUGUUCUCAAGGAAGAUAAUGACGGUACUUGAGGAUGAACCCCCGGCUAACUACGUGCCAGCAGCCGCGGUAAUACGUAGGGGGCUAGCGUUAUCCGGAAUUACUGGGCGUAAAGGGUGCGUAGGUGGUUUCUUAAGUCAGAGUUGAAAGGCUGCGGCUCAACCGUAGUAAGCCGUUGAAACUGGGGAACUUGAGUGCAGGAGAGGAGAGUGGAAUUCCUAGUGUAGCGGUGAAAUGCGUAGAUAUUAGGAAGAACACCAGUUGCGAAGGCGGCUCUCUGGACUGUAACUGACACUGAGGCACGAAAGCGUGGGGAGCGAACAGGAUUAGAUACCCUUGUAGUC